AGGUCCCAUCAUUGGAAGCAUGCUAAUGAAAACUAGCCUCCGGGAAGUAAUACCUCAAGGUGGUCUCUCGGGGGAGAGUGGUAGAAGAAGCGUUUGGGGCGUAGUUUUUAGUACGUAAGCGCCAUGGAUGGCGAAUCGCGCAUGCUGCUACGAAGAACCAGCAGUAUCUUUUGAAGAUUUUCUACCGCCGGCUCGC
rfam:Glossina pallidipes, whole genome shotgun sequence.